GACAGAGGUGCCAAGCGUUAGGCGGAAUCACUGGGCUUAAAGCGUGUGUAGGCGGAAUGGUAAGUACCUUGUGAAAUCCCACGGCUCAACCGUGGAACUGCUUGGUAUACUGCUUUUCUUGAGCCACUUAGGGGCUGUCGGAACAAACGGUGGAGCGGUGAAAUGCGUAGAUAUCAGGAGGAACACCGGUGGCGAAGGCGGGUCUCUGGGCCGUAACUGACGCUGAGGAGCGAAAGCAUGGGGAGCGAACAGG
rnacentral:rRNA from 1 species